AGCAGACCGCAUGGUGUGUUGGGAAAGCCUUUGCGGCAUGGGAUGGGGUCGCGUCCUAUCAGCUUGAUGGCGGGGUAACGGCCCACCAUGGCUUCGACGGGUAGCCGGCCUGAGAGGGCGACCGGCCACAUUGGGACUGAGAUACGGCCCAGACUCCUACGGGAGGCAGCAGUGGGGAAUAUUGCACAAUGGGCGCAAGCCUGAUGCAGCGACGCCGCGUGAGGGAUGGAGGCCUUCGGGUUGUAAACCUCUUUUGUUAGGGAGCAAGGCAUUUUGUGUUGAGUGUACCUUUCGAAUAAGCACCGGCUAACUACGUGCCAGCAGCCGCGGUAAUACGUAGGGUGCAAGCGUUAUCCGGAAUUAUUGGGCGUAAAGGGCUCGUAGGCGGUUCGUCGCGUCCGGUGUGAAAGUCCAUCGCUUAACGGUGGAUCCGCGCCGGGUACGGGCGGGCUUGAGUGCGGUAGGGGAGACUGGAAUUCCCGGUGUAACGGUGGAAUGUGUAGAUAU
rnacentral:rRNA from 1 species